GCAUAUUCUGGGAGCAGGAAAGCAGGGGAUCGCAAGACCUUGCGCUGAUUGAGCGGCCGAUAUCAGAUUAGCUAGUUGGUGAGGUAAAGGCUCACCAAGGCGACGAUCUGUAGCGGGUCUGAGAGGAUGAUCCGCCACACUGGAACUGAGACGCGGUCCAGACUCCUACGGGAGGCAGCAGUGGGGAAUUUUGGACAAUGGGGGCAACCCUGAUCCAGCCAUGCCGCGUGAGUGAAGAAGGCCUUCGGGUUGUAAAGCUCUUUCGGCCGGGAAGAAAUCGCAUGGGUUAAUACCCUGUGCGGAUGACGGUACCGGCAUAAGAAGCACCGGCUAACUACGUGCCAGCAGCCGCGGUAAUACGUAGGGUGCGAGCGUUAAUCGGAAUUACUGGGCGUAAAGCGUGCGCAGGCGGUUUUUUAAGACAGGCGUGAAAUCCCCGGGCUCAACCUGGGAACUGCGCUUGUGACUGGAAGGCUAGAGUAUGGCAGAGGGGGGUGGAAUUCCACGUGUAGCAGUGAAAUGCGUAGAGAUGUGGAGGAACACCAAUGGCGAAGGCAGCCCCCUGGGCCAAUACUGACGCUCAUGCACGAAAGCGUGGGUAGCAAACAGGAUUAGAUACCCUGGUAGUCCACGCCCUAAACGAUGUCAACUAGGUGUUGGGUGGGUAAAACCAUUUAGUACCGGAGCUAACGCGUGAAGUUGACCGCCUGGGGAGUACGGCCGCAAGGUUAAAACUCAAAGGAAUUGACGGGGACCCGCACAAGCGGUGGAUGAUGUGGAUUAAUUCGAUGCAACGCGAAAAACCUUACCUACCCUUGACAUGUCCAGGAGCCUGAAGAGAUUUGGGUGUGCCCGAAAGGGAACUGGAACACAGGUGCUGCAUGGCUGUCGUCAGCUCGUGUCGUGAGAUGUUGGGUUAAGUCCCGCAACGAGCGCAACCCUUGUCGUUAAUUGCCAUCAUUCAGUUGGGCACUUUAACGAGACUGCCGGUGACAAACCGGAGGAAGGUGGGGAUGACGUCAAGUCCUCAUGGCCCUUAUGGGUAGGGCUUCACACGUCAUACAAUGGUCGGUACAAAGGGUUGCCAAGCCGCGAGGUGGAGCCAAUCCCAGAAAGCCGAUCGUAGUCCGGAUCGCAGGCUGCAACUCGCCUGCGUGAAGUCGGAAUCGCUAGUAAUCGUGGAUCAGCAUGUCACGGUGAAUACGUUCCCGGGUCUUGUACACACCGCCCGUCACACCAUGGGAGCGGGUUCCGCCAGAAGUAGGUAGCCUAACCGCAAGGAGGGCGCUUACCACGGCGGGGUUCGUGACUGGGGUGAAGUCGUAACAAGGUA
rnacentral:rRNA from 1 species